rnacentral:tRNA from 1 species
GCACUGGUGGUUAAGUGGUAGAAUUCUCGCCUUCCAUGUGAAAGACCCAGGUUCGAUUCCCAGCCAAGGCA